UGGGGAAUAUUGCACAAUGGGCGCAAGCUUGAUGCAGCCAUGCCGCGUGUGUGAAGAAGGCCUUCGGGUUGUAAAGCACUUUCAGCGGGGAGGAAGGCGAUAAGGUUAAUAACCUCAUCGAUUGACGUUACCCGCAGAAGAAGCACCGGCUAACUCCGUGCCAGCAGCCGCGGUAAUACGGAGGGUGCAAGCGUUAAUCGGAAUUACUGGGCGUAAAGCGCACGCAGGCGGUCUGUCAAGUCGGAUGUGAAAUCCCCGGGCUCAACCUGGGAACUGCAUUCGAAACUGGCAGGCUAGAGGCUUGUAGAGGGGGGUAGAAUUCCAGGUGUAGCGGUGAAAUGCGUAGAGAUCUGGAAGAAUACCGGUGGCGAAUGCGGCCCCCUGGACAAAGACUGACGCUCAGGUGCGAAAGCGUGGGGAGCAAACAGG
rnacentral:rRNA from 1 species